GAUGAACGCUGGCGGCGUGCCUAAUACAUGUAAGUCGAGCGAACAGACGAGGAGCUUACUCCUCUGACGUUAGCGGCGGACGGGUGAGUAACACGUGGAUAACCUACCUAUAAGACUGGGAUAACUUCGGGAAACCGGAGCUAAUACCGGAUAACAUGUUGAACCGCAUGGUUCAACAGUGAAAGACGGUCUUGCUGUCACUUAUAGAUGGAUCCGCGUCGCAUUAGCUAGUUGGUAAGGUAACGGCUUACCAAGGCAACGAUGCGUAGCCGACCUGAGAGGGUGAUCGGCCACACUGGAACUGAGACACGGUCCAGACUCCUACGGGAGGCAGCAGUAGGGAAUCUUCCGCAAUGGGCGAAAGCCUGACGGAGCAACGCCGCGUGAGUGAAGAAGGUCUUCGGAUCGUAAAACUCUGUUAUUAGGGAAGAACAAAUGUGUAAGUAACUAUGCACGUAUUGACGGUACCUAAUCAGAAAGCCGCGGCUAACUACGUG
rnacentral:rRNA from 1 species